GGNAUAUAAANCUCGGCUAACUCCGUGCCAGCAGCGCGGUAUCGGGGGAUGCAGCGUUAUCCGGAAUCAUUGGGUGUAAAGCGCCUGUAGGUUGUUUGAUAAGUCUGUUGUUAAAGCCUAGGGCUUAACCCUAGAAAAGCGAUGGAAACUACCAGACUAGAGUAUGGAAGGGGUAGAGGGAAUUUCUAGUGUAGCGGUGAAAUGCGUAGAUACUAGAAAGAACACCAGAAGCGAAAGCGCUCUACUGGGCCAGUACUGACACUCAGAGGCGAAAGCUAGGGUAGCAAAAGGGAUUAGAUACCCCUGUAGUCCUAGCCGUAAACGAUGGAUACUAGAUGUUGUGGGUUACUUGCAACAGAUGUUGCAGGUUAACAUGCAGUGACGAAGCUAACGCGUUAAGUAUCCCACCUGGGGAGUACGCUCGCAAGGGUGAAACUCAAAGGAAUUGACGGGGGCCUGCACAAGCGGUGGAGCAUGUGGUUUAACUCGAUGCAACGCGAAGAACCUUACCAGGAUUCGACAUACUACAAAUCUUUUUGAGAAAAAAGAGCACCUUCGGGAAUGUAGAUACAGGUGGUGCAUGGCUGUCGUCAGCUCGUGUCGUGAGAUGUUGGGUUAAGUCCCGCAACGAGCGCAACCCUUAUUUUUAGUUACUAACUUGUUAGGUUCUCUAGAAAGACUGCCGGUGACAAACCGGAGGAAGGUGAGGAUGACGUCAAGUCAGCAUGCCCCUUAUAUCCUGGGCUACACACGUGCUACAAUGGUUAAGACAAUGAGUCGCAAGCUCGCGAGAGUCUGCUAAUCUGGUAAACUUUGCCUAAGUUCAGAUUGUA
rnacentral:rRNA from 1 species